GCUAAAAAAUAACUAAUUGCAUAGAUUACGACUAAUUUGCGAGACGAAUCUUUUAAGCCUAAUUGCUCCAUGAUUUGACAAUGUAGUGCUACAGUAAACAUUGCUAAUGACGAAUUAAUUAGGCUUAAUAAAUUCAUCUCGCGGUUUACUAACAGAUUCUGUAAUUGGUUUUUUUAUUAG
rnacentral:misc_RNA from 1 species